UACGUAGGGGGCUAGCGUUGUCCGGAAUCAUUGGGCGUAAAGAGCGUGUAGGCGGCCCGGUAAGUCCGCUGUGAAAGUCGGGGGCUCAACCCUCGAAUGCCGGUGGAUACUGUCGGGCUAGAGUGCGGAAGAGGCGAGUGGAAUUCCUGGUGUAGCGGUGGAAUGCGCAGAUAUCAGGAGGAACACCAAUAGCGAAGGCAGCUCGCUGGGACGGUACUGACGCUGAGGCGCGAAAGUGUGGGGAUCAAACAGG
rnacentral:rRNA from 1 species